rnacentral:rRNA from 1 species
UACGGAGGAUGCGAGCGUUAUCCGGAUUUAUUGGGUUUAAAGGGUGCGUAGGCGGACGCUUAAGUCAGCGGUAAAAUUGCGGGGCUCAACCUCGUCGAGCCGUUGAAACUGGGUGCCUUGAGUGGGCGAGAAGUACGCGGAAUGCGUGAUGUAGCGGUGAAAUGCAUAGAUAUCACGCAGAACUCCGAUUGCGAAGGCAGCGUACCGGCGCCCAACUGACGCUGAAGCACGAAGGCGUGGGUAUCGAACAGG